rnacentral:ncRNA from 1 species
UGAAAGACUAUGAACAGGAGUAGUAAGCGAUUGGCCCCUUACAGAGAGCAGAGCGACACGGUGCAACGCCUGCAGGAUUGUCCCGCGCUGAAGUCACCUGGGAGUUGCCCUUUUGAACGUGUCACGGUAAUGUAUGAACACGAUGUUCAUCAUGUUCCGGAUACGCAAGAAUAGGCCGGCCGCAGCCGUUAUUUGCAACUGAAGUGCCGCUCGCACGAUCUGUAAGAUGUAAGGAUCUGUUCUGGGAGCGGAAUAAAGGUGGUACCACGGAAGCUAAACCUUUCGUCCUUUGC